UGUGGGAGCGGGCUUGCUCGCGAAAGCAUCAGCUGCAUCGACAUAGAUGUUGGCUGAGCCACCGCAUUCGCGAGCAAGCCCGCUCCCACA
rnacentral:antisense_RNA from 1 species